UCAUAAUGUUGCAGAUCCUUCGGAUCAGCAACUUAACUGUCACAGAACCGGGCGGGCAACCGUCCGUGGCAUGUCGGCCUGGGUCUUACGCAAUGUGAGCCUGCGAACCGUGUCAGGUUGGGAACAAAGCAGCACUAAGCAUGGAAUUUGCAUGUGCCGUGAGGAAACCUGGGUCCGGCUGUCAUAAAGGAGCCUUUGGCUGCCCGGUUCUGUGACAGUUUUUUU
rnacentral:SRP_RNA from 1 species